rnacentral:rRNA from 1 species
GACGAACGCUGGCGGCGCGCCUAACACAUGCAAGUCGAACGGAGCUGCGAGAAGCUUGCUUUUCUUAGCUUAGUGGCGAACGGGUGAGUAACGCGUGAGUAACCUGCCCUGGAGUGGGGGACAACAGUUGGAAACGACUGCUAAUACCGCAUAAGCCCACGAUCCGGCAUCGGAUUGAGGGAAAAGGAUUUAUUCGCUUCAGGAUGGACUCGCGUCCAAUUAGCUAGUUGGUGAGGUAACGGCCCACCAAGGCGACGAUUGGUAGCCGGACUGAGAGGUUGAGCGGCCACAUUGGGACUGAGACACGGCCCAGACUCCUACGGGAGGCGGCAGUGGGGGAUAUUGCACAAUGGGGGAAACCCUGAUGCAGCGACGCCGCGUGGAGGAAGAAGGUUUUCGGAUUGUAAACUCCUGUCGUUAGGGACGAUAAUGACGGUACCUAACAAGAAAGCACCGGCUAACUACGUG